CCUACGGGAGACAGCAGUGAGGAAUAUUGGUCAAUGGGCGGAAGCCUGAACCAGCCAAGUCGCGUGAGGGAUUAAGGCCCUGCGGGUCGUAAACCUCUUUUGCCGGGGAGCAGAGGUCCGGACGUGUCCGGGCCGGGAGAGUACCCGGAGAAAAAGCAUCGGCUAACUCCGUGCCAGCAGACGCGGUAAUACGGAGGAUGCGAGCGUUAGCCGGAUUUAUUGGGUUUAAGGGGUGCGUAGGCGGGCAUUUAAGCCGGCGGUCAAAUGUCGGGGCUCAACCCCGGCCUGCCGUCGGAACUGGGUGCCUUGAGUGGGCGAGAAGUAUGCGGAAUGCGUGGUGUAGCGGUGAAAUGCAUAGAUAUCACGCAGAACCCCGAUUGCGAAGGCAGCAUACCGGCGCCCUACUGACGCUGAGGCACGAAAGUGCGGGUAUCGAACAGGAUUAGAUACCCCAGUAGUC
rnacentral:rRNA from 1 species